rnacentral:rRNA from 1 species
CCUACGGGCGGCAGCAGUGAGGAAUAUUGGUCAAUGGGCGUGAGCCUGAACCAGCCAAGUCGCGUGAAGGAUGAAGGUUCUAUGGGUCGUAAACCUCUUUUAUAAGGGAAUAAAGUGUGGCACGUGUCCUUUUUUGUAUGUACCUUAUGAAUAAGGAUCGGCUAACUCCGUGCCAGCAGCCGCGGUAAUACGGAGGAUCCGAGCGUUAUCCGGAUUUAUUGGGUUUAAAGGGUGCGUAGACGGCUUUUUAAGUCAGCGGUGAAAGUUUGCGGCUCAACCGUAGAAUUGCAGUUGAAACUGGCAGGCUUGAGUACAGUUGAGGUAGGCGGAAUGCGUGGUGUAGCGGUGAAAUGCUUAGAUAUCACGAAGAACCCCGAUUGCGAAGGCAGCCUACCAAGCCAUCACUGACGUUGAUGCACGAAAGCGUGGGUAUCAAACAGGAUUAGAUACCCGAGUAGUC